GAUGAAGAACGCAGCGAAAUGCGAUACGUAAUGUGAAUUGCAGAAUUCAGUGAAUCAUCGAGUCUUUGAACGCACAUUGCGCCCCCUGGUAUUCCGGGGGGCAUGCCUGUCCGAGCGUCAUUGCUGCCCUCAAGCACGGCUUGUGUGUUGGGCCUCCGUCCUCCUCCCGGGGGACGGGCCCGAAAGGCAGCGGCGGCACCGCGUCCGGUCCUCGAGCGUAUGGGGCUUCGUCACCCGCUCUUGUAGGCCCGGCCGGCGCUUGCCGACACAUCAAUCUGUUUUCCAGGUUGACCUCGGAUCAGGUAGGGAUACCCGCUGAACUUAAGCAUAUCAAUAAGCGGAGGA
rnacentral:misc_RNA from 1 species